rnacentral:rRNA from 1 species
AACGAACGCUGGCGGCACGCCUAACACAUGCAAGUCGAACGCGGACGGGACUUCGGUCCUUAUUAGAGUGGCGCACGGGUGAGUAACACGUGGGAAUAUACCCUUUUGUACGGAACAACCAUUGGAAACGGUGGCUAAUACCGUAUACGCCCUACGGGGGAAAGAUUUAUCGCAAAAGGAUUAGCCCGCGCUAGAUUAGUUAGUUGGUGAGGUAAGAGCUCACCAAGGCUACGAUCUAUAGCUGGUUUGAGAGGAUGAUCAGCCACACUGGGACUGAGACACGGCCCAG